GUGGGGAAUUUUGGACAAUGGGCGCAAGCCUGAUCCAGCAAUGCCGCGUGCAGGAAGAAGGCCUUCGGGUUGUAAACUGCUUUUGUACGGAACGAAACGGUCCGGGUUAAUACCCUGGGCUAAUGACGGUACCGUAAGAAUAAGCACCGGCUAACUACGUGCCAGCAGCCGCGGUAAUACGUAGGGUGCAAGCGUUAAUCGGAAUUACUGGGCGUAAAGCGUGCGCAGGCGGUUUUGUAAGACAGGCGUGAAAUCCCCGGGCUCAACCUGGGAAUUGCGCUUGUGACUGCAAGGCUGGAGUGCGGCAGAGGGGGAUGGAAUUCCGCGUGUAGCAGUGAAAUGCGUAGAUAUGCGGAGGAACACCGAUGGCGAAGGCAACCCCCUGGGCCUGCACUGACGCUCAUGUACGAAAGCGUGGGGAGCAAACAGGAUUAGAAACCCGAGUAGUCC
rnacentral:rRNA from 1 species